CGAACGCUGGCGGCGUGCCUAAUACAUGCAAGUCGAGCGAACAGAUGAGAAGCUUGCUUCUCUGAUGUUAGCGGCGGACGGGUGAGUAACACGUGGGUAACCUACCUAUAAGACUGGGAUAACUCCGGGAAACCGGGGCUAAUACCGGAUAAUAUUUUGAACCGCAUGGUUCAAUAGUGAAAGACGGUUUCGGCUGUCACUUAUAGAUGGACCCGCGCCGUAUUAGCUAGUUGGUAAGGUAACGGCUUACCAAGGCGACGAUACGUAGCCGACCUGAGAGGGUGAUCGGCCACACGGAACUGAGACACGGUGCC
rnacentral:rRNA from 1 species